rnacentral:misc_RNA from 1 species
CCGAGUUUACAACUCCCAAACCCAAUGUGAACGUUACCAAACUGUUGCCUCGGCGGGAUCCCUGCCCCGGGUGCGUCGCAGCCCCGGACCAAGGCGCCCGCCGGAGGACCAACCAAAACUCUUAUUGUAUACCCCCUCGCGGGUUUUUUUAUAAUCUGAGCCUUCUCGGCGCCUCUCGUAGGCGUUUCGAAAAUGAAUCA